rnacentral:lncRNA from 1 species
AGGGGAGGGAAGGGGUGGGGGGAGACCAGCUCGAAAAUUGCUGCCAGUUUUGAAAAGCCUACCCCUGGCAACCCCUCUGCUGGCCUGCUUAUGCAUUCACCAGCCAUUUAGACACUUUCGUUCCUCUUUAUUCAAAUACACGAAGGCGAGCUAGGCAGAGGUGAAUCCAGAUGUGCCUGCGCCGCUGUAAAUGAGCCCAGGAAGAGAGAAAAAGACCAUCAGCCUCCCAGCAAAGAACCUAGUGGAAAGGCGCUCAGGGAGCAAGGGAAGAAAAGUCACUGUAGGGACAAGGCUGGCCCUAUUACAGCUGAAGAAUGAUCGCGUUUUAAACGCCACAUCAUCCUGCCAAACUAUUCCUUUCGCAAAGAGGGAAGAACACGGAUUAUUGCG